AUCGUAACAAUGGUUCCGUAGGUGAACCUGCGGAAGGAUCAUUG
rnacentral:rRNA from 1 species